GGAGAGGUGUCCGAGCGGUCUAAGGAGCGCGACUGGAAAUCGCGUACGGGCUGAAAGGUCCGUCGCGGGUUCAAAUCCCGCCCUCUCCGCCU
rnacentral:tRNA from 1 species